UACGUAGGGUGCAAGCGUUGUCCGGAAUUAUUGGGCGUAAAGAGCUCGUAGGCGGUUUGUUGCGUCGGCUGUGAAAUCCCGAGGCUCAACCUCGGGUCUGCAGUCGAUACGAGCAAACUAGAGUGUUGCAGGGGAGAACGGAAUUCCCGGUGUAGCGGUGAAAUGCGCAGAUAUCGGGAGGAACACCGGUGGCGAAGGCGGUUCUCUGGGCCUGUGCUGACGCUGAGGAGCGAAAGCGUGGGGAGCGAACAGG
rnacentral:rRNA from 1 species